ACUGAAACCCCUUAUUGACCCUAGACUCAGCAGGUUGCUUGGUGACUGAAGAAAAGCAAAUAGGAUGUCUCCUAAUUUAAAGGAAAACUAAUGAAAAACGAGGUGUGCAGGCACUUAACACGUCUGCAGAGUGUUUUAAGUGUUUCUAGAAGCCUUGACACUUACGAGCAGUAAGAAUAAUUAGGAUAUUUGGGGUUUCAGAUCAGCAGAAAGCAACUCAUAAGGAAUGUGCGGCGAGGAGCAAGUAGCAGAAGGAACUAGAAAGGGUGAAGAGCUUCGAGCCGAUUAGAAUUUAAAGUACUAGGUUUCAGAAUUCCAAAUGAUCCUUUAAGAAACUGUGGUGUCUCUUUAAGAGCCAUUUGGUGCAUUUCAUAGCCUGAUUCAUGUCACCAGCUGCCUCUGAUUUCAGUGAGAAAUGUAGACUUUAUAGGGAACUGUAAAAUGGGGACAGGUUUUUAGUUUUCUAAAUUGAGGUUUAACUGGCAAACUUCUGAAGGCUUAAGAAACCAUGAGCUGGGCUAUGGAAAGCUGGUUUCUUUUCUGGUUAGAACACAAACACACAAACACUAUCUAACUCUCAAAGUGCUUAAAGAAAGAAAGCAUUGCCCCUUGCUGAGUAGGAAAAUGAAGAACCAGCCUUGUGGGCAAGAGGAGGAGGGUCACAUUGGCCAGUAGGCAGCACCCGGCGCUGGCAGAGGAGAAAUCUGAGCGAGCAGGCUUUCCACAAACUCUUGGGUUUCGAGUUGCAGGUCUCCGGAGUCCGGAGAAGGCGCUCCAGCGACAGGGCUCCCCUUUGCAGGGCCCCAGGGUGGAAUGGCAUCCCCCAUCCCUAGCCACCCACGGGACAAGCAGUUGCAAAAUGAAGGUGGCUCUGGGGCAUGAGAUUGGGACCGUGGAAGUGCUUUACAGCUGUACAGAGGGCUGCCUGCUGCUUGAACCAAGGUGACAGAAACUCUCCACAGUUAGAUACUGCUGAUUUCUUCGCUGAUGUCAGAACCAGUGUCUCCAGGCUCCCAUCACUGCUUUAAGGACCAGUAACUUCCAGGGUCACUCCAGGUUUGGGGCUUCAGUUUGGGACUACUGAGCUCUCAGCCUUGUGGACUGAACAACUAGCAAGUUGUUGGCCUUUCCAGUGUAAGACAGCCACUGUGGGACCACUCCAACUGCUGAGGCACCCACCCAGCCUCAAGGACCAAGUGACUACGGGGCGCUCAGCUUCUCAGGUGUGAGACAACUGUUGUUACUGUUUCAAUGUAAUGACAUGGAUGAUACAGAAGUUGACUAAUGUACUGAAACGACAUGCCUAAAGACACUUCUCAUUCCUGAAUGAACCACUGCAAGAUUAAAACAGGCAAGUCUCAAAGGUCUUACACACUUAGUCCUCAGCCCCUCGCCCAACCUCUGAGUGUGAUUUGUAGUGCUGGCGCUACAAGUGGAGGUCCCACCGAGAUCGGGAAAGAAGGGACAGUGCUGAAGGACCACCGGGAGCCGGCUGGCAGUGAGAAAACGUGCCACCUGUGAAGCUGUUGGGGUCCCGCGAGCUCGGCUAUCCUGGUACGGGUCCCGGGCAUCAUCCCGAUGCCAGUCAAUGUGCUGGGCAGCUACCCGGUUCGCCUCAUAAGGGAGAAGAGGGAUUUUGGAAUCACCACAGCAAUCAUCACAACAGUCACUGUGUCUGCCGCAGCCGCCACUGCAGCUGGACUAGCUCUUGCUCUAAUGGCUGUCAUGGCUGAGACUGUGGACAAACUAUCGGGACAGGUGGCACAGGCCCUUGAUACUCAGGGCAAGAUAAAUUCUUUACGGCAGCUGGGCAUCCUAAAAUUAAAUCAACCGCUCUGUUACAGGAACAAGUUGAUGCAUUGUGGGAUAUGCAUAUGUUAGCCUGCUCUCCUACCUUUACCCAUAUCUGUGUCACUUCUGCUAAGGUACGUAAUGCCUCAGUAGCUGUGAAGGAGCUCAAUGAGUUCUUGCAAGGACCAUGAUAUUAACAAUUUCUAAAUUAUACUCGUCAGCUGACGCAACAAAUCAUAUCUAUAAAUGAAACAAGAGUUCCUCCCGUGUCCAGGGAGGCUUUUGUAAAGGGUCUCCAUGUAGUUGGAAAACUGUUUAAGGAAUGGAGUGGAUCCAUUGCCCUAGGCCUCC